UCACCUAUAGCUCAGUUGCUAGAGCAAGAGAGUCUAAAUUUCAGGGUCCUGGGUUCGAGAUCCACGUUGGGCAA